rnacentral:rRNA from 1 species
GACGAACGCUGGCGGCGUGCUUAACACAUGCAAGUCGAGCGAGAGAGAUGUCUUCGGACAUCAAUCUAGCGGCGGACGGGUGAGUAACACGUGGGCAACCUGCCUUAGUGAGGGGGAUAGCCUUCCGAAAGGAAGAUUAAUACCGCAUAAAGUAGUAUUUACACAUGUAGAUAUUAAGAAAGGAGAAAUCCGCACUAAGAUGGGCCCGCGGCGCAUUAGCUAGUUGGAGAGGUAACGGCUCACCAAGGCAACGAUGCGUAGCCGACCUGAGAGGGUGAACGGCCACAUUGGAACUGAGAGACGGUCCAGACUCCUACGGGAGGCAGCAGUGGGGAAUAUUGCACAAUGGAGGAAACUCUGAUGCAGCAACGCCGCGUGAGUGAAGAAGGUCUUCGGAUUGUAAAGCUCUGUUAAUCGGGACGAAAAAUGACGGUACCGAUAGAGGAAGCCACGGCUAACUACGUG